rnacentral:rRNA from 1 species
AACGAACGCUGGCGGCAUGCCUAACACAUGCAAGUCGAACGAGACCUUCGGGUCUAGUGGCGCACGGGUGCGUAGCGCGUGGGAAUCUGCCCUUUGCUUCGGAAUAACAGUGAGAAAUUACUGCUAAUACCGGAUGAUGUCUUCGGACCAAAGAUUUAUCGGCAAAGGAUGAGCCCGCGUAGGAUUAGCUAGUUGGUGGGGUAAUGGCCUACCAAGGCGACGAUCCUUAGCUGGUCUGAGAGGAUGAUCAGCCACACUGGGACUGAGACACGGCCCAGACUCCUACGGGAGGCAGCAGUGGGGAAUAUUGGACAAUGGGCGAAAGCCUGAUCCAGCAAUGCCGCGUGAGUGAUGAAGGCCUUAGGGUUGUAAAGCUCUUUUACCCGGGAUGAUAAUGACAGUACCGGGAGAAUGAGCUCCGGCUAACUCCGUGCCAGCAGCCGCGGUAACAC